rnacentral:lncRNA from 1 species
GGGGAGCGGUUAUGGUCGGGGAGAGGUCAGGGGAGCGGUCAGGGGAGCGGAAGUGUUCAGGGGAGAGGUCAGGGAAGCGGUUAUGGUCAGGGGAGAGGUCGGGGAAGCAGUUAUGGUCAGGGGAGCGGUCAAGGAAGCGGAAGUGGUCAGGGGAGAGGUCAGGGAAGCGGAAGUGGUAAGGGGAGUGGUCAGGGAAGCGGAAGUGGUCAGGGCAGCAGUCAGGGAAGUUGAUCAGGGGAGAGGUCAGGAAAGCGGCCAGGGGAGCGGUCAGGGAAGCGGUCAUGGUCAGGGGAGCGGUCAGGGGAGCGGUCAGGGAAGCGGUCAUGGUCAGGGGAGCGGUCAGGGGAGCGGUUAUGGUCAGGGAAGAGGUCAAGGGAGCGGUUAUUCAUAUGGCAUGUUUUCCCUAUUUGCUCAAACAGUUUAGAAAGAUUUUUGUCGAUCGUUCUCUCUCUCUCUUUCAUUUUAAAGUUUACAACUUGCUUACUGUAUUUGGAUUUUAA